AGGGUGUGCUAAGUGGAAAAGGAUGUGGGAUCGCGAAGACAGCCAGGAGGUUGGCUUAGAAGCAGCCAUCCUUGAAAGAGUGCGUAAUAGCUCACUGGUCGAGUGGUUCUGCGCCGACAAUGUAGUGGGGCUCAAGCACACCGCCGAAGCCGCGGCAAUAAUAUUUUGUUAUUGGGUAGGGGAGCGUCGUGCACGUGUUGAAGCGUUACCGUGAGGAGGCGUGGAGUGUGUGCGAGUGAGAAUGCAGGCAUGAGUAACGAAUUGGAAGGUGAGAAUCCUUCCCGCCGGAUGACUAAGGGUUCCUGGGUCAAGUUCGUCUUCCCAGGGUGAGUCGGGACCUAAGGCGAGGCCGACAGGCGUAGUCGAUGGACAACCAGUUGAUAUUCUGGUACCCGAGUAUAUGCGCCCCUGAUAAAGCACUGAUACUAACCACCGUAAGCUGUUGUGAUUGACCCUUUGGGGUUAACAUGGUGGCAAGCCGUGGGGCCUGAUGUGUGGUUCAAGCGAUGGGGUGACACAGUGGGGUAGCCAUGCCGCUUAGUGGAUUGUUGGUGUAAGCGUGUAGGUGAUGGUGUAGGUAAAUCCGCACUUGUUAUGCUGAGACGUGAUGCGUAGCCUUAAUUGGUGAAGUUGGUGAUCCCGUGCUGUCGAGAAAAGCCUCUAGCGAUGUAUAUACUCGGCCCGUACCCCAAACCGACACAGGUAGUCAGGUUGAAAAUACUAAGGCGUUCGGGUGAACUGUGGUUAAGGAACUCGGCAAAAUGCCCCCGUAACUUCGGG
rnacentral:rRNA from 1 species